AUUGAACGCUGGCGGCAGGCCUAACACAUGCGAGUCGAGCGGAUGAAGGGAGCUUGCUCCUGGAUUCAGCGGCGGACGGGUGAGUAAUGCCUAGGAAUCUGCCUGGUAGUGGGGGAUAACGUCCGGAAACGGGCGCUAAUACCGCAUACGCCCUGAGGGAGAAAGUGGGGGAUCUUCGGACCUCACGCUAUCAGAUGAGCCUAGGUCGGAUUAGCUAGUUGGUGGGGUAAAGGCCUACCAAGGCGACGAUCCGUAGCUGGUCUGAGAGGAUGAUCAGUCACACUGGAACUGAGACACGGUCCAGACUCCUACGGGAGGCAGCAGUGGGGAAUAUUGGACAAUGGGCGAAAGCCUGAUCCAGCCAUGCCGCGUGUGUGAAGAAGGUCUUCGGAUUGUAAAGCACUUUAAGUUGGGAGGAAGGGCAGUAAGUUAAUACCUUGCUGUUUUGACGUUACCAACAGAAUAAGCACCGGCUAACUUCGUG
rnacentral:rRNA from 1 species